GGGCUUUAACUGACGCUGAGGCACGAAAGCGUGGGUAGCAAACAGGAUUAGAUACCCUGGUAGUCCACGCCGUAAACGAUGAUUACUAGGUGUGGGGGGACUGACCCCCUCCGUGCCGCAGUUAACACAAUAAGUAAUCCACCUGGGGAGUACGGCCGCAAGGUUGAAACUCAAAGGAAUUGACGGGGGCCCGCACAAGCAGUGGAGUAUGUGGUUUAAUUCGAAGCAACGCGAAGAACCUUACCAGGUCUUGACAUCCCGAUGACCGGUCUAGAGAUAGAUCUUUUCUUCGGAACAUUGGAGACAGGUGGUGCAUGGUUGUCGUCAGCUCGUGUCGUGAGAUGUUGGGUUAAGUCCCGCAACGAGCGCAACCCUUGCUAUUAGUUGCUACGCAAGAGCACUCUAAUAGGACUGCCGUUGACAAAACGGAGGAAGGUGGGGACGACGUCAAAUCAUCAUGCCCCUUAUGACCUGGGCUACACACGUACUACAAUGGUCGUCAACAGAGGGCGGCGACACCGCGAGGUGAAGCGAAUCCCAAAAAACGAUCUCAGUUCAGAUUGCAGGCUGAAACUCGCCUGUAUGAAGAUGGAAUUGCUA
rnacentral:rRNA from 1 species